GACGAACGCUGGCGGCGUGCUUAACACAUGCAAGUCGAACGGAUAGGCCCUGCUUGUGUCUUGUUCUCGAGUGGCGAAAGGAUGAGUAACACGGGAGUAACCUCGUCUGUACUUUGGGAUAACUUCAGGAAACUGGGUCUGAUACCGGAUAUGAGCUCCCGCUGCAUGGUGUGGGUUGUAAAGUUUCGGCGGUUGGGGAUUGUCGGGCGGCUUAUCAUUUUGUUGGUGGGGUAGUGGCUUACAAAGGCUUUGACGGGUAGCCGGCCUGAGAGGGUGACCGGCCCCAGUGGGACAGAGAUAGGGGCCGGAGUCAUACGGGGGGAAGCAGUGGAAGAUAGUGCACGCUGGGCGGCAGCCGGAUGGAGCAUCGCCGCGUGGUGGAUCACGGCCUUUGGGUUGUAAACCGCUUUCGCGUGUGACGAAGAGUGAGUGACGGUAAUGGGUAAAGAAGCACCGGCUAACUACGUG
rnacentral:rRNA from 1 species